rnacentral:lncRNA from 1 species
AUUGAUCCUUUAGGAAGGGGUGGUCGGCUGAGCUUCCCAGGAACCACAGAAGCGACCGGUAAUUUUUUCUGCAGCAUUUUCGGUGGAGAGCUUUGCUCUGUGACGCUAUUUCUCGCACUCACAGUGACUCCUCAACAAGUGAACAAGACAAGGACCCCGGUAUACAUGGCCCACACGUAUCAAGGAACUUCAAUAAAAAAUCUUCGUCAUUUUGUCCAGAUCGCAAAGUCCAAGAAAUUUGCGAUGUACGACAACGGAAAGGUGGAAAAUCUCCGGAACUAUGGA